AAUAGGUAAAAUUCCAACAACUAAAGCCACAAUAGCAUCAGAUUAGGGUUUCUGCAGCCACACUCCAUUUACAGAAUGAGAUUCAUUUCUCAGUGAUGCUUCCGCAGAUUUCCCAAUCUCAUUCGUCCCGAACAAAAAAAAAACCCACAAUGGCAUUCAAACUAAAAACCCCUUACAAUAAUAGUGCAAGAUAGGAAAAUUGACAGUGUGCAAGAUCCAAAAAAUCAACCUUUCUCCCAUUGCUUCUUCAUAUGCAAGACACUCACACCCACACUAGCAUCCAAAUUCUUGUCCCUGAUUCAAGAAAAGAAUAACCUAAAUUCUCGCAAGCUUCCGCCAAAAAAGCCCCACCUUUCGAAUCGCGUCUCGUCGAGUAUUCACCAUAGAAAUUAGCUUCUCUAUAACUCUCUCAGUCCCAUCCAAAAGGGAUUUCUCAAUCUCACUUUUCCAUUCCUUCAAUUCAUCUGAUAACAUAAAACUACUCCCCUCACUCUGCAUAUCAUGAACCCUACCCUUCCAUAUCGUCUUGACCACGCCGUAACUAGGGUUUGAUGUUUCUGCUUCGAAAUACUUGAGAGUAGAUUCAACUGCAAAUAAGCUGCUUUAAUGGCGGCACUGAUUGAAUUUGAAGUUGAGGGGUCGCGAUAAAGUAACAGUUUUUCUAGUACCUCAAGGGAGCAUAGAUUCUGAGGAUAAAUGCUUCGACAGGGCGUCUUGGAGGGUUCUGAGGAUGAUGAUUUUAUUGGUGCGGUCAUCAGUGUGGGAGUGUGAGAUUCUGGAAACGAGUUUGUUGAUGAUGUUGAUCUUUAUUGUUUAGUUUCUAACGAGGUAUUCCAAACACCAUUCCCUCGCUUCGUCUUACAUUUUAUUCUCUUCCAAUAUUUUUUAGAUUUUUCCUUUUUUUUUUCUCUAUUUGUUAAACAAAAAUGAAUCUACUCUCAAAUAUCUAGAAGCAGGAACGUCAAACCCUAGCUACGGCGAAACAAUCAAGAGUAUAUGGAAGCAUGGUUGUCAAACUCGCGGGUAGACUCGUAAACUCGUACGAGUUUACGAGUCUAAGAAGAAUAAACGAGUAGACUCGCACAUAGAAUCAUUUUUUGACAGACUCGAGUAAACUGGGGUAGACUCGCACAAACUCGUAUAGACUCGCGAGUCUAUCAUGAGUUUACGAGUCUAUAAGUUUCUUUUUAAUUUUGUUUUUAAACCAAUAAAGGUCCAAAUUCCCCCAAAAAAAUUAUUUUUUAUUUUUUAAAAUCCUGAUUUUGUUUUGGUUGUACAAGAAUUAGAAAGCCUCUCUCUCUCUCUCUCUCUCUCCUAGUCUCUAGUAUGAGAUUUCUAUGGAGAUAUGACUCCAGAAUUAAAGAGGUUUGCAAUUCAUGUCCAAAGCUUAACUUGUAGCUCCUCUGGUUGUGAAUGGAAUUGGGGUUUUGGAAGUCAUUUUUGAUUUUCCAUAGACUCGUACGAGUUUGCGAGUCGAGUCUACGAGUCGAGUCUAUGGACCCUUUACGAGUCUGAGUAGACUCGCGAGUUUGACAACCUUGUAUGGAAGGGUAGGGUUCAUGAUAUGCAGAGUGAGAGAAGUAGUUUUCUGUUAUUAGAUGAAUUGAAGCAAUGGAAAACUGAGAUUGACAAUUCGCUUUUGGAUGGGAGAGUUAUGGAAAAGCUUGCUUGUAUAGUAAAUUCUCGAAGAGACGCCAUUCGAAGGCUUUUUUUUGGCUGAAACUCGGGAGAAUUUAAGUCCUUUUCUUGAAUCGGGGGCGAAUAAUCAAUUAGAUGCGAGUGUGGCUGUCUUGAAGAUGAAGAAGCAACAGGAGUAAGGUUGAUUUUUUUUCUAUCUUGCACCUUGUGAAUUUUUUCUAUCUUGCCUUAUUAUUGUAAGGGGUUUAGUGUGGAUGCUAUUGUGGCUUUAGUUGGAAUUUUACCUGUUUUUUUGGAGAAAGUUGGAAUUGUGAGUUCAGUUCAUGAUGGUUUUGUUGUGAAUUUGUGAUUUAUUACAAUGCUUAGUUUAUUAGUUUUUGUAUUGGAUUCUGUUGAGUUUGAGAAGGAAACUAGUUGAAUAUGAUGCAAACUCAAUUGCCAGAAGCAAAGUGAAUACAAAAUUGUUUUUUGGAUUCUCA